rnacentral:rRNA from 1 species
UGGCUCAGGACAAACGCUGGCGGCGUGCCUAACCUUUGAAAGUCGCACGGGCUGUCUUCGGACAGUCAGGGGCGCACGGCUGAGGAACACGUGGGGAUCGACCCGUUCGUGGGGAACAACACGGGGAAACUCGGGCUAAUCCCGCAUACCCUCCCAGGAGGAAAGCGGCGUCCCCCCGCGCGAACGGACAACCCUGCCCCCCAUCAGGUCGUUGGCGGGGUAACGGCCCACCAAGCCUUUGACGGGUCGCUGGUCUGGGAGGAUGACCAGCCAAACGGGGACUGAAACACGGCCCAAACUCCUACGGGAGGCACCACCAAGGAAUUUUCGGCAAUGGGCGCAAGCCUGACCGACCAACGCCGCGUGAAGGAUGACGGCCUUCGGGUUGUAAACUCCUUUUGGGGGGGAAAACACAAACGGUACCCCCCGAAUCACCCCCGGCUAACUCUGUGCCA